GCGGAGGAAAAGAAACCAACAGGGAUUGCCCCAGUAACGGCGAGUGAAGCGGCAACAGCUCAAAUUUGAAAUCUGGCCCCAGGCCCGAGUUGUAAUUUGUAGAGGAUGCUUUUGGUGCGGUGCCUUCCGAGUUCCCUGGAACGGGACGCCAUAGAGGGUGAGAGCCCCGUACGGUCGCGCGCUAAGCCUCUGUAAAGCUCCUUCGACGAGUCGAGUAGUUUGGGAAUGCUGCUCAAAAUGGGAGGUAUACGUCUUCUAAAGCUAAAUAUUGGCCAGAGACCGAUAGCGCACAAGUAGAGUGAUCGAAAGAUGAAAAGCACUUUGAAAAGAGGGUUAAACAGUACGUGAAAUUGUUGAAAGGGAAGCGCUCAUGACCAGACUUGGGCCCGGCGAAUCAUCCAGCGUUCUCGCUGGUGCACUUCGCCGGCUCAGGCCAGCAUCAGUUUGCUCCGGGGGACAAAGGCUUCGGGAAUGUGGCUCCCUCGGGAGUGUUAUAGCCCGUUGCGUAAUGCCCUGGGGCGGACUGAGGUACGCGCUCCGCAAGGAUGCUGGCGUAAUGGUCAUCAGCGACCCGUCUUGAAACACGGACCAAGGAGUCGUCUUCGUAUGCGAGUGUUCGGGUGUCAAACCCCUACGCGUAAUGAAAGUGAACGCAGGUGAGAGCUUCGGCGCAUCACCGACCGAUCCUGAUGUUCUCGGAUGGAUUUGAGUAAGAGCAUACGGGGCCGGACCCGAAAGAAGGUGAACUAUGCCUGUAUAGGGUGAAGCCAGAGGAAACUCUGGUGGAGGCUCGCAGCGGUUCUGACGUGCAAAUCGAUCGUCAAAUAUGGGCAUGGGGGCGAAAGACUAAUCGAACCUUCUAGUAGC
rnacentral:rRNA from 1 species